rnacentral:rRNA from 1 species
GACGAACGCUGGCGGCGUGCCUAAUACAUGCAAGUAGGACGCAGUUGCGAACGGGUGAGUAACGCGUAGGUAACUACCUAUUAGAGGGGGGUAACUAGUGGAAACGACAGCUAAUACCGCAUACUAGGAGAUGGACAUGCGUUGUAUUAGCUAGUAGGUAGGGUAAUGGCCUACCUAGGCAACGAUACAUAGCCGACCUGAGAGGGUGAUCGGCCAAACUGGGACUGGGACACGGCCCAGACUCCUACGGGAGGCAGCAGUAGGGAAUCUUCGGCAAUGGGGGGAACCCUGACCGAGGACAGCCGCGGGGGUGAAGAAGGGUUUCGGAGCGUAAAGCUCUGUUGUUAAGGAAGCGUUACUUAACCAGAAAGGGACGGCUAACUACGUGCCAGCCGCCGCGGUAAUUC